UUAACUCUUUCAGACUGGGUUGGGUAGUAAAUAUUGGUAUAAAAUGCAUGUAAAGGGUGAGAACUAAUCAUGAUAAAUGAUUAUCUAUGUGUUGUGUCCGUGUGGGGGCCUAUAUGUGAUGUAAUUAUUGAAAUUGAGAUAUUGUGUGAUAUGUAUGACCGUGUAUAUAACACCCCGUACUUUUACCUAGCUUAAAUUUAUCCCCAAAAUAUCAAAGACUUUAUUUAAAGAAUGAUACACUUUUAUACAUAUGUAAUUUUCAAUAUUUUGACUUUUCAUUAUGUGAGAAAUUUAAUAAGCUUUCCAUCAAUAUAAAAUUCGCCCAAAUCCGACACCCGGG
rnacentral:lncRNA from 1 species